rnacentral:rRNA from 1 species
CAGCAGCCGCGGGAAUACGUAGGUCCCGAGCGUUGCCCAGAUUUAUUGGGCGUAAAGCGAGCGCAGGCGGUUAGAUAAGUCUGAAGUUAAAGGCUGUGGCUUAACCAUAGUACGCUUUGGAAACUGUUUAACUUGAGUGCAAGAGGGGAGAGUGGAAUUCCAUGCGUAGCGGUGAAAUGCGUAGAUAUAUGGAGGAACACCGGUGGCGAAAGCGGCUCUCUGGUCUGUCACUGACGCUGAGGCGCGAAAGCGUGGGGAGCAAACAGGAUUAGAUACCCCUGUAGUCCCUGUCUCUUAUACC